CAACUACGGUGGCUGAAAUCCAAGGACACUGGCCUCUGGCCUACACUAUGGCUCUGGGACCCGAGAUUCAGUUUUGGAGACUGGGACUUCGAAGAUCAAGGCACCACAGAUUUGGUAUCUGAAGCCUAAGCUCCUUGAGGGGCAAGAGGGGAAAGCCUGAAUCUGUGGGGACAUAGCAGGGCGUAGAGAGAACACAAGCUGCCCACCCAUCCAGGAAGAGACUGAGUCAGCAGGUGCCAUGAGUAGUAGGAAGAGUGCUACUCAUUGGGAGGUACCAGCUCAGUGUGCCUGGAAAGGCUGGAAGCUGGAGUCCAGGCUCCCAGCAUUGGCUGUGAUCCCAGGGCCAAGCUCAUGAUAGAAGCAGCACAGCUACCUGCCUCCCGGGGAGCUUGGAAAUGAGGCCACUGAGACAUUGGCAAGCUGAUCUAAAAUUCAUUUGGAAGUACAAAGGACACAGAAGAGCUAAAACCAUGUGGGAAAAGAAGAACAAAGUUGGAGGAUUUAUACAUCCCAAUUUCAAAACAUUCUACAAAGCUACUUUAGUCAAGACAGUGUGGUACCAGUGUAAGGACAGAUAUUUAGAUCAAUGGACGAGAACUAAGAGUCCAAAAAUAAAUCUUUAUGUUCAUGGUCAACUGAUUUCCCAGAAGAGUACUGAGACAAUACAAUGGAGAUGACAACAGUCUUUUCAACACAUGGUGCUGGGACAACCGGAUAGCCACAUGCAAAAGGAUGUAUUUGGACACCUACCUCACACCAUACACAAAAUUUAACUCAGAAUGGUUCAAGACCUAAAUGUAAGAACUAAAAUUAUAAAACUCUUAGAAGAAAGCAUAAGAGUAAAUCGUAGUCACCUUGGUUAGGCAAUGAUUUCUUAGUUGUGAUAUUAAAAGCAUAAGAGGUCAAAGAAAAAAACUGAUAAAUUGGACUUCAUUACUCCCUCUAGUGGAUCUAAAAUAUAACCUUACUUAUAAGUAUUCCAUCUUGUUUUGAAACAGUAAAAGACAUGUCUACGGUAAUCACUCUAACCAGUGGUCAUGUUAUC